rnacentral:rRNA from 1 species
CCUGGCUCAGGACGAACGCUGGCGGCGCGCCUAACACAUGCAAGUCGAACGAGAGAUGAGGAGCUUGCUCUUCAAAUCGAGUGGCGAACGGGUGAGUAACGCGUGAGGAACCUGCCUCAAAGAGGGGGACAACAGUUGGAAACGACUGCUAAUACCGCAUAAGCCCACGGCUCGGCAUCGAGCAGAGGGAAAAGGAGUGAUCCGCUUUGAGAUGGCCUCGCGUCCGAUUAGCUAGUUGGUGAGGUAAUGGCCCACCAAGGCGACGAUCGGUAGCCGGACUGAGAGGUUGAACGGCCACAUUGGGACUGAGACACGGCCCAGACUCCUACGGGAGGCAGCAGUGGGGAAUAUUGCACAAUGGGGGAAACCCUGAUGCAGCGACGCCGCGUGGAGGAAGAAGGUCUUCGGAUUGUAAACUCCUGUUGUUGAGGAAGAUAAUGACGGUACUCAACAAGGAAGUGACGGCUAACUACGUGCCAGCAGCCGCGGUAAAACGUAGGUCACAAGCGUUGUCCGGAAUUACUGGGUGUAAAGGGAGCGCAGGCGGGAGAACAAGUUGGAAGUGAAAUCCAUGGGCUCAACCCAUGAACUGCUUUCAAAACUGUUUUUCUUGAGUAGUGCAGAGUAGGCGGAAUUCCCGGUGUAGCGGUGGAAUGCGUAGAUAUCGGGAGGAACACCAGUGGCGAAGGCGGCCUACUGGGCACCAACUGACGCUGAGGCUCGAAAGUGUGGGUAGCAAACAGGAUUAGAUACCCUGGUAGUCCACACCGUAAACGAUGAUUACUAGGUGUUGGAGGAUUGACCCCUUCAGUGCCGCAGUUAACACAAUAAGUAAUCCACCUGGGGAGUACGACCGCAAGGUUGAAACUCAAAGGAAUUGACGGGGGCCCGCACAAGCAGUGGAGUAUGUGGUUUAAUUCGACGCAACGCGAAGAACCUUACCAAGUCUUGACAUCCCUUGACGAACAUAGAAAUAUGUUUUCUCUUCGGAGCAAGGAGACAGGUGGUGCAUGGUUGUCGUCAGCUCGUGUCGUGAGAUGUUGGGUUAAGUCCCGCAACGAGCGCAACCCUUAUGGUCAGUUACUACGCAAGAGGACUCUGGCCAGACUGCCGUUGACAAAACGGAGGAAGGUGGGGAUGACGUCAAAUCAUCAUGCCCUUUAUGACUUGGGCUACACACGUACUACAAUGGCGUUAAACAAAGAGAAGCAAGACCGCGAGGUGGAGCAAAACUCAGAAACAACGUCCCAGUUCGGACUGCAGGCUGCAACUCGCCUGCACGAAGUCGGAAUUGCUAGUAAUCGUGGAUCAGCAUGCCACGGUGAAUACGUUCCCGGGCCUUGUACACACCGCCC